rnacentral:rRNA from 2 species
UUAAAUUGAAGAGUUUGAUCAUGGCUCAGAUUGAACGCUGGCGGCAGGCCUAACACAUGCAAGUCGAACGGUAACAGGAAGAAGCUUGCUUCUUUGCUGACGAGUGGCGGACGGGU